GAUGAACGCUGGCUACAGGCUUAACACAUGCAAGUCGAGGGGAAACGGCAUUUGGUGCUUGCACCGAAUGGACGUCGACCGGCGCACGGGUGAGUAACGCGUAUCCAACCUUCCCGUUACUGCGGGAUAACCUGCCGAAAGGCAGACUAAUACCGCAUGUUCUUCGAUGACGGCAUCAGAUUCGAAGCAAAGAUCCGUCGGUAACGGAGGGGGAUGCGUCUGAUUAGCUAGUUGGCGGGGCGACGGCCCACCAAGGCGACGAUCAGUAGGGGUUCUGAGAGGAAGGUCCCCCACAUUGGAACUGAGACACGGUCCAAACUCCUACGGGAGGCAGCAGUGAGGAAUAUUGGUCAAUGGGCGGAAGCCUGAACCAGCCAAGUAGCGUGCAGGAUGACGGCCCUACGGGUUGUAAACUGCUUUUAUGCAGGGAUAAAGUGAGGGACG
rnacentral:rRNA from 1 species